AAGAAUUCCCACUGCUCCGGGUGUGCGUUCAGGGUGUAUGUGUGUUAUCACUGCUGUGUGUGUCUGUGCAAUUUGGAAGGUUUUAACGCAGAGCAUGAAUUCUGUCACGUCAUCACAGUGGGCACUGUAUGAUGCGGACAAACAGGGUCAGCCAAUAGCACAAUUCAUGUAAUUGGGUGGAGCUGUUGUUCGGGUAAUGCAAUUAAUGUACCGAGUACACGGCUGUAUGCAGUCUUCAGUUCAGCAUUCACUGAUGCAUCUUUCUGCUGGAGGACGGAGCUGUACAGAGUCAUUCUGAGGAAUAAAACACGAUCAAACAUGAGAUACAAAUGUGUAUUAAUGAAAAAACACAAAGAGAAAACUGCUGGAGCAUCAGAAACCACCAACAGCACAGAGAGAGAAAUGGAGGACAGAAGUGAGACACAGACGACUGGAUCACACGAGAAAAACAGACAGACACUCGUGAGAUGUAAGAGUAUGGAGAAACUAAAACCAAGCUUGUAGUCUAAGAUGAUCCAGACAGACCUGUAAAGAUUAAUUCAGAUGUCCAAAGAUCUUCAUCAUGUUCUGAAGAACACAACAUCAGUGAGACAGCAGCUUCAUCUUCAUCAUAAUCUUCAUCGUCCUCAUCUUCAUCAUCUUCAUCAUGUUCUGAAGAACACACACAACAUCAGUGAGACAGCAGCAGCUGAAGACCUGAUCAUCUUCAUCAUCAUCAGUAUCAUCAUCUUCAUCUUCAUCUCUGGCUCCAUCACUCCAGACUACAGUGUGUUCAGAUCCUUAACCCUUCAGGGAUCUGUACUUCAUACUUUGCUUAAUACAUCUGAGAUGAUUUGACAGAUGCCUGAUCUUUUAAUCAUGAUAAUUGAUCUCUGGAUAAUUUGGUUCUUCAAACAAGGAUUUGUCUAAAGUAUCUGGAUCAAGUUGAGUGAGAUUACUGCAUGUUGUCAUGUUCUUUGGAAAGGGCAGAUAUAUCAACUCUCCAAACCAUGAUCAACAGUGCAGUGUCAAGACAGCAGUAUAAAGACAUCAUAUCAUGAAGAUCAAGGAAACAUUGCUGCUUGCUGUCUAAUCAGGCAAUGACUUUGCAGGCAGCGUUUUUACCCGAAGGCACCUCAUGAAACGGAUUUCGGACAGUCUUCUGAGGCAGUGUAAUGGUUUAAUCAUCGACACCAAAAUAUAGAGAGCUUUGAUGAUAACUAAGUGGAUAUUUCAUUACUGCAAUGUUGAUUUCUCGCUAGAAAUCACAUAAAAAGUGGAAAACGUUGUU